AACGAACGCUGGCGGCAUGCCUAACACAUGCAAGUCGAACGAACCCUUCGGGGUUAGUGGCGCACGGGUGCGUAACGCGUGGGAAUCUGCCCUUUGCUUCGGAAUAACUCAGGGAAACUUGUGCUAAUACCGGAUGAUGUCUUCGGACCAAAGAUUUAUCGGCAAGGGAUGAGCCCGCGUAGGAUUAGGUAGUUGGUGGGGUAAAGGCCUACCAAGCCGACGAUCCUUAGCUGGUCUGAGAGGAUGAUCAGCCACACUGGGACUGAGACACGGCCCAGAGUCUUACGGGAGGGAGCGGUGUGGAAUAUAGGACAAUGGGGGCGAGAGUGAGCCAGAACAGCCGCGUGAGUGAUGAAGGCCCUCGGGUGGUAAAGCUCUUUUACCAGGGAUGAUAAUGACAGUACCUGGAGAAUAAGCUCCGGCUAACUCCGUG
rnacentral:rRNA from 1 species